rnacentral:lncRNA from 1 species
UCUCUUUUUUUCUCCUUCCUUUUCCAGUCUCACAUUACUGCAUCGCAUAACCCGCGCAACCCUCCUCUUUCUUUCUCUUUCGGUUGCAGUGUCGUGCAACACCGCACGAUCACCCUUCUCUCUUAGUCGUCGAUGCUACCCGACCUUCUCUCUCCUCUCAUAGUUGCGUUUCUCUCUCCUUGCUCUCACAUCUCUUUCUUUUUCUUUUUUUUUGUUAUUUAAUUACCUAUAUACAUAUAUAUAUAUAUAUUUGCCGCUUAGGUCCCAUUCUCCUGCUCUCUGCGUUCUUUUUUUUCUUUAUUUAUUUAUUUCUUUUUUCUUUCUUUUAUUUUUCUUUAUUUAAUUAUAUACACAUACAUACAUAAAAGAAGACAUGUGGCAUGUGCAUACAUAUAUAUAUGUGCAUACAUACAUAUGUAUAUGUAUGCACAUGCCACGUCUUCUUUUUCUGCUUGCAGAGUAAACACUCUUGGUUCUUCUUUUCUUCUUUUUUUUUCCUUCACUUUUCUAUUAUUUAAAUAUUUAUAUAUAUAUAUACAUGUAUAUAUGUUUGCCAGGAUCUAUUAUUUAAUAUUAUAUAUAUACAUAUAUAUAUGUUUGCCACCUGGAUAUUACAUUAAUCUUUUCUUCAGUUGUAUUAUUUAUUUUAAAUGUCUUAAAAACCUUGUCAUUUACGGUUGCCCCAUAAUUAUAUUUUCGUCAUGAAAGACACACAAAAGGAGUGUUUGUAGGCACUAAAUUUACCCACUGCAUUGAAUUAUGUUAUCAUAGCUUUGGUUAAAUUAAGUUAUGAGUGCAUAUAUGAGAGGACGUGAUAGCACACAAUUUCUAUCAAUCCAUGUAUAAUAUAAACGCACAAAUAUUAUGCAAUAUAUCAUAAAGAGAGAACAGAGUCCAAGAAAUAGCCUUGCUUUCCUAAUUCUCUUACUAAGACAUGACUGCAAUCCAUUGAACUUCACAUUACAAUGUUUCUACUAAAAAAGAAAAACUCAUGUAUUCCCAAAAGCCUUCUUUGUCAGAAAUUUUGAAGACUCAAAAGCUUUCUUUGUCAGAAAUUUUGAAGACUGGCCCCAAAGUAAAUAGUUUAUUUUUAAAUAAACCUUGAAAGACUGAACAAUUAACUAUUGUUUUGCUAAAUUAGACAACUCAUGAGAAAAACGCACUUUUUCAAAAAUUUUAACACCUUAUAUAAGGUAUUAAUCACCUAAUAAUAAUAAAUCAAUCAAGGAAACAAUAUUAAAAAUAAUAAAAUUAUAAGUUCAUACAAUAAAAAAAUAUGGAGAUAUAUCAAAGUUAGAGGAGAAUGUAUAAACUUCUUUUUCUAUACUUGUUAUUUAAAUACUAUAGAGAUACUUUAAAUAUAUAUAAAGCUGAUGACAUUAUUUUAUCAUGUAUUUAUUAAAUUGAUUUAUAUUAAAUUGAAUUUAGUUACAUUUAAUCUAAAUGUAAAAAUAUUUAUGAUAAUCAAUUACUCGUUUUACUUAAAAUUUUCAUUGAACUUGUUUUAUCGCCUUUAUGUAACUAUUUUAUAUAACUAUUUUUUUCUUUUUAGAGAAAAGUCUUCAAUCAAUUGCCGUUAAUCUAUUGACUCAUGCUUCAAUCAACCUUCUAAUUCACAAAUUAAUAUCGAAAGUAAUGUUAUCAUCAUUUAUUCACAUGCAUGAUAACAUUCUAUUAUUUUUUGAAAGAACAAAUACAAAUGAGAAUCAAGACCUUCACCAACGAGCACAUCACCAUUUUUUCAUUUUGUUUUUAAUAAAAGUCAGCCACUAAUAAUUAAUGAUUAAUUCUCUCAAAAGGUGCCAAAGCAGCUCAAACGAAUUUGCAUGGAUUUUAUCCCCAAGUGUCUAUCAUAAUGCUAUAACUAAACAAUCCAUCAUUUCCAUAGAUAGAUCGAAUGAGAUUGAGCCAAUAAUCAACAGAGGUGAAAUCUUAUAAUCAAGAAUGGACUAACAUUUUUUGGUCCAGUCCAAUUGGACCCUUUUUUUUUCUAAUUUACUAGUUACUAAAUUAAUAGAAGAUAAACUUGAAAUUAAAAUUAUGUUAUAUAUAUUUUUAUUUUUUAUAUUUUUGGUUUGGGUCUAAAUCAAACUGUAAUUAACUAAUUUUUUAGUUUCUUGAUGUGUGGUAGAGGAUCAAAUCAAAUAAUUUUUGGUUCAGUUAGAUAUGUUCUACGCCGAACAACCUAGUCCUAUCCAAUUUCAAGUAGAAAAUGCAAACUCUUAGCUAUAAACAUUUGUUUUUUCACAUUUUAUAAAUAUAUAAUCGUUUAUGUUUAACGCAUAAAUAAAAAUUAAAAAUUAUUUCAUAUAUAAACAGAAAAAUAUAGUGCUCCAUUCCUAAGAAUUACUAGUCCAAUGGCUUCUAAACCUAAUAUGCAUUUUAAAUGUAAACACCAUUCAAUUUCUUAAUAUCGUCAUGAAAGCAACAUCACAAUUAAAAAUUACAAUCCAAAAAUAUAUAUUAUAUGUAAUAUUGCAUUAAAGUCAUGAAGUUGACACAUGUUCUGAUACCAAUUAUAACGUUCUAAGUCCAAUAUGUAACGAUCCCAGAAAUUCAAAAGAAAAUAUAUAAUAAUUUAAAUGCGGAAGCAAAAUAAAAGGUUAAAGUUUACAUUUCUUAUACAAUGACUUAAAAGUACUAAACAAACAUUACAGAUGAAUCAUCUGAAAGAAACACGAGAAAUAUAAAAGAUAAUGGAAAAUAAAAAGUAUCUAGCAUCUACUCGUAAUCUUCCUGCAGAUCAGACUUUGGAACCAGGUCCUGAUCUGAAAUGGUUAGAUAAUGGAUGAGCUACACUAGCCCAGUAAGGAUAUCACACUAUAACACCAGAACAGAAAUAAAGGUUAGUAGAAAAUCAAAACAACUAAUGGAGCACUAAAUUUAAACCAAUACAUUUAUUAAAAAUAAAACUAUUUACAGUUCACUUACCAUUGUGGAAUUUAUGAAAACAACCUACAGAGACAAUAAUAUUAUACAGAUCAUAACUUCAUGCACAAUCAGCAACAUAGAAUAUAUUAUAAAUUUAUAUUCAUUAACAAUAAACUAAAUUAUAACCGUUUUUCAUUUCAUCAGCCUACUAGUAUCCAUGGGGGUGUCUCUGCUACACGUGAACCCUUUCCUUUAAAAAUCUUAAUUACAGAGCUAUCCCUAUACCCCGUCCAGUAUGAGCACCAAGAUAUUAAACCUCAAUAUCCCGUCCGGUAUGAGAGCCAAAUGACCAAGUCUCCAUACCCCGUCCGAUAUGAGACAACGUUCACGGUAGGGUUCUCUAUGAACCCGGUCCGUCCACUAUCUCUCAGGAUAUCUAGUGAGGCUAUCAUCUUAUAUGUUCAUUAGAUCACACUCCUUUCCUAUUUUUCCUUAGUCUCUAUUACCAAAUCAAACAUAAUCACAUAAACAAUGAACAUACACCCAGUAAUGCAAUCAUAUCUUAAAUCUCAAAAUCACACAGAUGUCAAGUAAGGCAAUGAUACAUGCAUUUAAAAUCAUAAAAUAGAUAAACCAGAUACCAUCAUGCUUUCAAACUGUAAAAUAAAUCAACAGAGAAUAAUGUCUGGUUCGGGCUCCAUUAGCAAUUCGUAAUUAAUUAGGCCCAUCUAUUUAAUUUGUACAAAGACUAUAUUAUCAUUUAUUCAAACUUCAAAUCUAUAAUAGGAAAUAGGGUGAGAGGUCCUUACCUGAUUUGACGCCGAAAAGCUAAAUGGUUUACUACACCUAUGGGCGGUCCCUAGGUUCCCUGAAUUUUUCUUCGAGAACUAAAAAAUGCUUAUGGUACCUACAAACGUCCCAAAAAAACCCAAAAAUCAAUCCAGGGCCUACUCGACCAAUUUCAAAAAUCUGGCAUGGCGGCUCUGCUGUGCUACAGCGACGGCGCCACUGCUUGCGAUAGCGAUUCGCCUCGUGUUGGCUGUUUUUGGCCGUUUUCGGCCGAAUUCAGUCAAAUUUAUAUCGGUUCCCGUGAGAAAACACACUUAGGGCCUCGGUUGGCUGAAAAAAUGUAGAAAAUCGAAACUCACCAGCAGCAGGGCUCUCCGAUGCGGCAGCUCCUCUGGCUCACGUUGCGGUUGGGUAUUUUGCUUCGGUCAACCUGUAGAGAAGGAAACGAUGAUCACAACGGUGAAAAAAUCACAUCAAAUGGAAAUAAGAAAGGGCCUCAGCAGAGGCAUUUUUUGAAAUACCCAGCGGCAGCGGCGUCGGGCUUUGCCAGCAUUUUUCAGCCAAUUGGCCGGUUCUUUUGCUCUGAUUUGGUCAUGGGUGUGUUUAAAAUUAAAUUCUGAGUAAAAGGUAAAAUUUUUACCUCGUUUGGCGGUCAAAAAUUGCUCCGGUGCGGUGGCGGGUGGUGGCGGUCGGCUCCCCGGUGGCUGGGUUGUCUUCUCCGGCGAGGGGUUCUGGCGGCUAGGGGUUAAGGUUUGGGUGUGGAUGGGGUUAUUUAUAUCCAUCCGCUUUUGAUCUGGACCUUCCAUCGCUUUUAAUCUGGACCGUCCGAUCGCGAUUAAAUAGGGAGUGAAUAUGGACCGUUCAUCGCGAUUCAAUCUGAGCCGUCCGUAUGCGAUUCAAUCUGGGUCGUCCGUGCGCGGGGGAACUAACCUCAGCUAUUUGAUCGCGCUCACGCAGAUCGCCCACGUGGUUCCCCCCUGCGUGGCCUCCCGCAUCAGCGCCUCUGCCACCUGGCGCCUCCUGGUUGGUCGGGCUGCUGACCGGGCAUCUGACGUGGUGCAUUUUUUCUAAAUUGUAUUUUGGCCUCUGUUUUUCGAUUUUCUCUUCAAAAAUACCUCGAGAACCCAAAUUUUUAUCCAUUUUUCACCAAACUAUUCUCAAUUUCACCCCCAUCUAUUUUCCUUCAUUUUUACACAAAAUAAAUAAAAAAUUACUUUUAUUAAUUUUAAAUUUUAAUUUAUUUUGGGGUGUUACACAAUAACAACUACAACAAUAGCCCUUUGAACUCAAACCACAAAAUCUUAAAACUUGAAGCUUUAAUUAUUAUCAGUGCGUAACUUAAUUCCUUUAUAUGAAGCUCAUCAAUAUAUUUGUAAUAUAAGACUUGAUAUCUCAAAACCUUUGGCACAUAAUUAUAGUACUUUUCAUCAAUAACUUAAGAGGCAGAAAAAUAAGAAAACAAUCACUUUGAGAAAAUCAUAUCUAAGGUCCCUUUUCAUAUUUCAUAUUGGGAUCAAGCUACUUUUGGAAAUUUUUAAAAUUUCAUAAACUUUUCCUGAUCCUAUCCAGUUGCUCUAACAAAGAUAAAUAGGCUGAUGAUUUGUUUAGACUAUAAGCAAAAAGAACAAUAAAGGUUAGGAUCCUCUGUAAUAUUUUUCUUCUCUUCCUUCUUAAUCUUGACGUAAUAAUAUGAUUAACAUUAUGUUUUUUUAUUCUUACUGAUAAAAACUAUUCAAUUGGGGGGACUAAUCCACAUCAAAGGUUUGCUAUUAGGACUAUAGAGCAGUCAUUUCAAGUCAACUUUGUACAGGUCAGGGAUAUAUAUAGGCAUAAUAGUUGAAAGAGGGUACUUGUAACAACCUAGAAUUUCAUAAGCAAUGAUAGUUGUAACCUUUCACUCAUUCAUCACAGUAAGUAUUAACAUCCAUAAAUUCCUAUCAUAAUUGUCUCGCCUCAACUAAUUCUAUAAUAACUCAACUAUGACAUAUUGUAAUCUAUUUAAAAAUUUCUAAAAUAUUUUAAAAUCUAAAGAGUUAAAUAACGCUUUAAAAUCUAGAAAAUCAUAUUUAUAUGGACAAGUGUCCUUUCAUCUUAUGUUUCCUUUUCAAUAUUUUUCACAGUCUCGAUGGUCCUUUAGCUUGGUCUUACUUCCUCUUCUCUUGAAAUAAUAAAGAAGAGUGAGCCAUAUAUACUCAGUACUCAAUAAGAAUAAUUUAAAAUACCAAUCUUUUACUUUUAUUCCAACUCAACAACUCUACAUGUAAAUCUAACAUCCAAUACUCAUAUUACCAUAUAUCAAUCUCUAACCUACUGUUCUCACAUCAUAUGUACCUCAAUUCUUUCUUGAAACAUCUAUAAUUUCACAACUCAACUUUACAUAUACAAUUUUUGUCAAUUUUCAUUCUCCGUAAUAUAACUGUAUAACCAUAUUAAUUGCACAUAAUCACAUAUAAAGUACCUUUUCCCAUAUACAUAUUUAUAUAGUAAUAAAUUUUUAUCAUUCACCAAAUACAACUAACAUACAUGCGCAUAAAUUCAUUAUUUUUUCAUAUAAUAUCAUUCAGUCACAAUUAUGGAACGAAAUGAUAAUUUUUACUAGACCUAGUCAUAGUUAUGCUUCUAUAAGUCAUAAUUACAAUCAUAAUUAUAAUCAUAUGAACCAUGAAAUAGAGUUCAUGAUCAUUCCUUACCAAUCUUGGACUACACAUUUAUUCAUAUCUCUCUUAUAAGAAUCUUUAUUGUUAACCCUGUGUACUCCUAAAUACGAUUUAUAUAAUAGACCGAAAAUCAAAUUCAAAAUUUUAUUUGAGAGAAAAUUAGAAAAAUUUGUAAAAUAAAUUAAAUUUAAAAAUAAAAUUAUUCGGAGAUUAGAACUUUAUUUAGAAAAUUAAAAUAAAUUAGGAAAGGGUUUUAAAUAUAUAUAUAUAUUAAAACUCUUUAUUAGUAAAAUAAAUUAAAUUAAAAGUAAUUAGGGAAUAUUAAUACUUAUAAAAUAAUAAAAUCACAUUAUAAAGAAAGUUAAAAAAUUAAUUAACUUAAAAAUGAAUUAGAAAAUAUUAAAUUCCAUAAGUUAAUUAAAUUAAAAACUGUAAAAUAAAUUAAAAAAAAGAGAGAAACAAAAUUAAAAUAGGAUUAAAAUUUCACAAUAAAGAAAAUGACCAAUCAAAUAAAAUGUGUUGCAUGUGCGAUUUAAACAUGGAAAAAAAAAUAGGAAAUGAGCUAAGGAUUGUUAAAUGGCCACCAUGCACAUGGAUGGGGAGAUUCCCUCCCCCUUCGAGGUUGCCAUGUCAUCUAAAUUAAUCCAUCUCACCAUCCUUAUCCCUUUCCUAUUCUGUAAACACCCAAACAACACAUUUUCUCCUCUUUCAAUCAACCUAAACAAAAAAAUAGAGAGAGAGAAGAGAGAAGGUCGCUGCAAAUAGGAAGAAGGUGGCGGAUCUAGGCAGAGCCCUCACACUGAAAGAAGAAAACCGGCAAAGGUUGGCCGAUUUCUUCAUCUUUCUCUUCCUUUUCUCUUAUAGUUUAGAUUUCAUUAAUUUUUAUGCACAUUUAGGAAAGAAAAUCCAAAUCCAAAAGGAUAAACCUCUAGUCGAAGGGAACCCCACCGUGAAACCUGACCAUUUUUUAUUUCAGUUAAAGUAGGUAUACUAAUUACGGUUGUUUAUGAGACCCAUUUAUCUAAGAUUUAACUUAAAAUAUCAUAAUGAAUUGUUUAACUCUUUAAAAAGGUGACGCAUGCGUGUCAACCGAUAAGGACAAACUAUUUAUUUCCUUUGUUAACUUUUUUUUUU